AAUAGUCAAUGUGUUGGUCCAGGAACAACUUCAGGCUGGCCAUAUAGAACCUACUCUCAGUCCCUGGAAUUCACCCAUUUUUGUAAUUAAGAAAAAUCUUUUUGCAAGAUCCCAGGGCAAUGAAUCAUGUUAUCAAGCUCAUGGGAGCCUUACAACCAGAGCUUCCUUCUCCUACAGUUAUUCCUUGGGAUUAUCAUCUAAUGGUGAUAUAUUUAAAGGAUUGUGUUUUUUUUCACUAUACCUUUGCAUCCAGAUGACUGUAAAAAAUUUGAUUUUUG
rnacentral:ncRNA from 1 species